CAACGGUCUAACCUAUAUUAAAAAAAACGAAAAACGAGAAACACGUAUAAAUUACAUAAACAAACGACAACUACUGUACAUCAGAUUUCUGACUUAGGACAGGUGCAAACAUUUGCAGCGGGAUUAAACGUUUUAAUGGUACCAAACAUUCUCCCUUUUUCUGAAACAAUAGCAUAACAUCACAACAUAGAAAAACACACGAUAAAAUAUCAA
rnacentral:lncRNA from 1 species